UGGGGCUCCAGGCAAUAAAAGUUCAAGAGUCUUCUUCGAAUUCUUUCUACUAUUGCAGUCUCUGGGUUGCAUUCAAAACCAAGCUGGGUGUGGCCUGUAUGGAUCCCUGCCUCCUGUACCUGCCUCGGGCCGAGCCUACCAUCCUCUCACCCGGGCAGCGCACCUGGAGUUAAUUCAUGGCAACCAACAGAGGGUAUUUAUGGCCAGCUUCACCGUCGCCUUAACGCCAGUUCGUCAACCCACCUAAAUCCACUGGCCCACUAUGCCACGACACCACCACUAAGAUUCACGUUUUGGAUUCUGGUCACAAACCCUCAUAAGAUUUUCAGCCACACUCCAGGGAGUAUCACCAACCGCACUGACCUGCCUGCCUUCCUUCCAUCACCACCCACGCGAGUCCUGGAAUACUCAGGUCAGACCUUCUUAACACUCCUCUGCCAGUCACUCGGACCUCUGCCUCCCCCUCCAAGCCUCAGCCUCCUCCUGCCCAAUGCACCAGUCGCCGCUUAUGUCAUGUACCUCGGGCUACCGCGCUACAAUUCUCUACCUAGUAUUAUAUUGUGUAUCAAGAUACGCCAAGGUUCUAGGUUUUGUUUCUCCUUGUCAGUCCUGUGUCGUUGUAAAUAAAAG